AGUGAACGCUGGCGGUAGGCCUAACACAUGCAAGUCGAACGGCAGCACAGGAGAGCUUGCUCUCUGGGUGGCGAGUGGCGGACGGGUGAGGAAUACAUCGGAAUCUACCUUUUCGUGGGGGAUGACGUAGGGAAACUUACGCUAAUACCGCAUACGACCUACGGGUGAAAGUGGGGGACCGCAAGGCCUCACGCGAUUAGAUGAGCCGAUGUCCGAUUAGCUAGGUGGCGGGGUAAUGGCCCACCAAGGCGACGAUCGGUAGCUGGUCUGAGAGGAUGAUCAGCCACACUGGAACUGAGACACGGUCCAGACUCCUACGGGAGGCAGCAGUGGGGAAUAUUGGACAAUGGGCGCAAGCCUGAUCCAGCCAUACCGCGUGGGUGAAGAAGGCCUUCGGGUUGUAAAGCCCUUUUGUUGGGAAAGAAAUCCUGUCGAUUAAUACUCGGUGGGGAUGACGGUACCCAAAGAAUAAGCACCGGCUAACUUCGUGCCAGCAGCCGCAGUAAGAC
rnacentral:rRNA from 1 species